rnacentral:rRNA from 1 species
AUGGUGGAGGGCCGUCGCGGCAGCUCUUGUCCUGGGCCCCCUUCUCCCCUCAUGAUGGCGACGACCUCUCCAGCUCCGAGUCCUCCAUCUCCUUCAACACCUACUACUCCGCCGCUCCAACAUACCCCUACGGCAAGUUGCUUGGCCCACCAAGCCUACCUCCUGUCACGGCGGCCCGGGAAAUCAUCGGAAACCGGCGAGAUCCGACCGUGGACUUCUUCUCGGGUGUGCAGUUCGGCCCCCAGCGGUGAUGCAGUGCAGCUCCAGAUACGCCGGAGAUCCAUGGCGUCGCUCCGAGCACAGCCGAAGACCGUCGUGGAGGUUGUGGUAGCCACGGCCGUCACCCCACUGGAUCCGGCCGGCGUGCACUUCAGCUGA